CUGCAGUAGGUUCAUUGUAGGAAUAGGGUGCGCGCUCAGAUGAAAUCUAUAUCCCUUGGUAGAUAGGGGUGUUAGUCCUAUGUGAUUUAUGAGACCGAGUUUAGAAGACCUUGGCCAGGGCAGAAGAAAUAGCGGAAAAGGGUUUCUGAUAUUAGAAACUCGAGUCGAAUAAAUUUAACAUAUGACAGACGAUAGGGUUUGACGAGUUAUUCCAUAACCUCCGUCUAGUCGGGACUCAUGAUAGAAGGAUUGUAUCACACGGUAACUGCACCAAGAGGUUCAGUAUUCCAUUCUACUGGAAUGCCACUACAUGCUGCUAGGCGUUACUGGUGGAUGGUGAGACUCAUGAGAAUUAUCUAGAUGAUCGAUAAUUCUCAUUGGGCUGAGUUGGAAUUGUUUCGAUCCACUGAAAAGAGUUUCAGUGAUAUUGUUGAUAGUGAUCAAAAUAUAUCUCACUACCAGAUAAAAUAGAACCUAUGGGGUCACACACAUAAGAGGUUGUGAUUGAUCGGAUAGUUAGAUCGCGAUUAUUGAAUCGCCGGAGGACCUAAUUGUCAAUAUGUUGAUAAUUGGACUAAUUUAUAAUUGUUACAAAUUAGUGGUAUUAAAGUGUAAAUGUUACUAGAGAGGACUUACUAAUAGUUAGUAAAUUAUAAGAGGACUUAUGUAUAAAUGUUGCAUUAUUAAUUUGAUAAGAUCAAAUUAAUAUAAAAUUCAAGUCGAAUCAAAUUAGGAUUUGAUCGAUCUAACUAAUUAAGGAAAAGAUAAAUUUAAAUCUAGAUUUAUACUUAUCCUUAAUUGUCAUUAUAUUAUUAGGAAUAGGAUUAUAUUCCUAUAUAUAAUAUACGGGAGUUUUUAGAAAACCCAAGCCGUCAUCUAUCCUCUCUUCUCUCUUCCAUCUUCUAGCAAGAAAGACGUCCUUUUGCAAGGGAGCUAGUACUUCGGUGAGGAUAUCGAUCAAAUCAAGAACCUCCUGUGGAUACCUAUAGAGGCCGGACACGUGUGCGGCUUCAAGAGAACCCGAUUCCACGAUCAUCAAAUUGAGGCAAGGAUUUAUCCGCGAAAAAGGUAAUGAUUCGAUCUUACUUUUCUCCUUUAAUCUUAAAGAACAUGAGGGAUCCUAAUUGCGUGGUUUUUGAGAUUAGAUCUCGAGAGUUUUUCAAAAUCAAAUUUGUUUGAUUUCUUUUUCCGUUGCGUUUUACCGUACGCAAUUUUCUAACAGUGGUAUCAGAGCCAUCCUCAUGUUUUUAAGAUUAAAAUUAUGAAUUUGGGUAUUCUAAACCGUUUUUCGCCGAUCGAACGAUUUAUAGAUCGUUGUUUGGAUAAUUCGUAAAAUCAAAUUGAUCGAACAAUUUAAUCGACGGUUUCUCGUUUUCAAAACAAAAAAAAAUAAAAAUAAAAAUAAAAUAAAAUUACUGUAGCACCGUACGAACGCUACUGUAGCGUCCGUACGGAUUUACUGUAGUAGUCCGUACGGACUCUACUGUAAGGUCCGUACGGAAAUAAAAUUUUUUUAUUUAACUAAAAGAAAAGGAUCUAAUUUGAUUAGAUCAAAUUUAAAUCUUGAUGAGAUCAAAUUAUUUUUGAAGAUUAAAUUUUUGAUCAAAAUUAUAAAGAUCAAUAAGAUUGAUUGUUAUUAGUGAUUUAGUCACUAUUAUUUUUCGAAUUAUCAGUUAACGGUUAAUUAGAAUACCCAAAAUUUUUAUGUAUGUGAUGUAUGAGAUACAUAUCGGUGAUGAUCAUGAAUAGCGACCUAUUUAUAUUUCGAUGUAUGAUGUGUAUGCAAAAUCCUGUAAUUUUAAAUUUGUUUAAAUUAAGGACUUUGUAUUAGAGAUGGCUAUAUUUGUGCCUGCGUGCACAAGCCGAUUUAUUUGGAGACCUACGUGUCUCAAUAGAUUAGAGAUAAAAGUUAUCAAAUAUAAUUAAUUUUUAUUUCAUUUUUUAUUAUUGGGUUGUAUAAUGUUUGGUUGCACGUCAUUGGUUGAUCGGUUGCAAGCCUAAAAGUUCGCAAGGCCUGGAUAGAGAUGAAUACUUGAUGGCGGUCAGAUCAAGGUGUUGAUAAGGAUCGGAUCAAGUUGAAGCUCCAGAUCGGAUCAAGAAGUUGAAGACAAUCAAAUCAAUAACGUGUGUUUGCUUGUAAUUUAUGACCCUAAGACCCCGAUUCCGACUCAGUGGCUCGAGUCCGAAUCCACUUCUAAGAUCCAUGAUCAUCACCAAUUAUAUUAUAUUUUUAUGCGCGGAUUAUUUUUAUUUGCAUUAGAUGUAAAUAAAUAAAAUAUUUUUUGGGACCUAAAUAUUAAUCUCCUCACAAAUAUUAAGUCGAGCGGUCUUCCGCCGUUGAAGAAGUGCGAGCGUUUUUCGGGUGUUGAUUGGCACGGCUGGUUACAGUGGUCAGUUGCAUCGGGAAGGCGCAACCACUCUAUUAGCAUGAGAAGCUGCGGAGUAAAGAUGGGGUUGGACCCAAUAACUGUCAGGUGAGGGACCCAAUGAUGGCUUUGCUUACGCGUUUGAACGGUGGGUCUGACUUAACUAAGGAAUGGGGCCAAUAACUGUCAGGUGAGGCCUACAGGACUUAGAGACCGAUCACUGCAAUUUGCUUGAGAAGUAUUGGACAAGAGUUGUCCACUCAUUGGUUUGCAUAUCACCCAUAACUGUCAGGUGAGGUGGUACGUUAAACUGGUGGGACCACAGUACCCACUUGAAACCUUUUGUCGUGUUGGGUUUCCGUUUCUCUACCCGAAGAGUGUAAGAGACUCGAGAAAAUAGUGGGAGGCUAAAUUUAUUUUUAAAAUUCCUAAAACAAAUUUUCAAAACAAAUACAAAUAUCUAAUUUGAAUCUUUACUCUCUGCAAAGUAAAUGUCUACUUAUCUCUCUCGUAUUCUCGACACAAAAUCCUUAACUGAAAUUAAUUAUAAAAUAGUUUUAAAUUCCAAGAAGCACUGCAAUGUUCUUGACCAGGUAAACCUCAUGUUGCCAAACCAUCCAAUAACUAACUGAAGGGCAGUCCGUUCAUGAUCAUUGUUUGACAAUGAUCAUAGACCUCGAGGAGCUUGAGAAGCUUGGCUUGAAAAUGGAUAAGGAAUUGCAAGUUGAUCUGAUCCUGCAAUCCCUUUUUGUAUCAUAUGAACAGUUUAUUGUAAACUACCAUAUGAAUAAAAUUGACUGCACCUGCAGAGUUAUUGAACAUGUUGGCAAUAAUAGAGGGGACUUUGAAAAGUUCAAAGGGCACGAUUCUCGCUGUGGAGCGAGCUUCUUCUUCCAAAAGAAAGUCUAAUUGAAAAAAGAAACCCGCGAAGAAACAAAAGAUGGAGAACAAGCCUAAGAGAGAAGCUCCUAAGAAAAAUGCCACCAACAAAAGAAAAUGUUUCCACUGCAAUGUUGACGGCCAUUGGAAGAGAAACUGUCCUAUCUACCUGGAGAGCUUAAAGAAUAAGAGAAAGGACACACCUUCGGAAGGUAUGUCAGACUUGCUCGUAAUAGAAACUAACGGUUUCCUCUACUUCCAGAAAAAAAAAAAAAGUAGAGGGCUUAGAGAAGGUGAAGUGACCCUACGGAUAGACAACAGAGCAAGAGUUGCUGCUGUGGCUGCUGGCACCUCUCCUUUGCGACUACCGUCAGAAUUUGCUACUUAAAGACUGCAAUUAUAUACCUCCUGCUAGCAGAAAUUUAAUUUCUGCAUAGGAUGGUUUAAUUUUGACAAAGACUACUGCAUAAUUUAUUUUAGAAAUAAAAUUAUUGGCCGUGGUUUUAUAAUUGACAGUUUUCAUCAUUUACAUAUGGAUGUAUCUACAAAUAUUUCUGAGCAAGUAGUGACUACUGUUGGGUCUAAGAGACCUAGAGAUGAGAUGAAUCUAAAGUAUAUGUGGUACUUCUGGCUUGGUCAUAUUGGAGAAGAAAGGAUAAAUAAAUUGGAUAAAGAUGGGCUUCUCGGCUCAUUGACUUCAUAGUCUUAUCCAGUUUGUGAAUCUUGUCUUCAAAGAAAAUUGACUAAAUUAUCCUUUGUAGGACAAGGGGAAAGGGCCACUGAGAUACUUUUCCUGAUACACACUGAUGUGUGUGGGCCAUUUGAUGUGCAUGUUAGGGAUGGUUAUCUCUACUUCAUAAUCUUUACCGAUGAUUAUUCACGGUAUGGGUAUGUGUAUCUUAUGAAACACAAAUCUGAGGCCUUUGAAAAGUUCAAAGAAUUCAGAUAUGAAGUAGAAAAGCAAACUGAAAAAUCCAUCAAGGUUCUUCGAUCAGAUCGAAGAGGAGAAUACCUUAGUAGAGAGUUCCUAAAUUAUCUCAAAGAAAACGGCAUAGUCUCACAGUGGACUCCUCCGGGUACACCUCAACUCAACGGGGUGUCAGAACGGAGAAACCGAACCUUAGUGGAUGUGGUUCGAUCCAUGAUGAGCUUCACUGAUCUUCCUUUAUUUCUUUGGGGACAUGUUUUGCUUACCGCAGCUUAUUUGUUAAAUAGAGUUCCCUCUAAAUCCGUUCCUAUCACACCGUAUGAGAUGUGGCAUGGUAAGAAACCAAGUCUUGGUCAUAUCAAUAUUUGAGGGUGUCCGGCCUAUAUUAAGCGACUACAGGCGAAAAUGUUAGAGGGUAGGUCUGAGAGGGCUCGUUUUAUUGGAUAUCCUAAAGAAACUUUAGGUUACUAUUUUUAUAUCCCAGAGAAUCACAAUGUAGUUGUGAGCAAACAUACUAUUUUCUUGAAAAAACAGUUUAUUCAAGAAGCUAGUGGGAGAAAAAUUGAGCUCGAAGAGAGAGUCUCUGAAGAGCAACGAGUCAUCAAACCUACAGAACAUAUUCAAGCUGAGCCAGUACAUGUAGUACCUCCUCCACCUCGUAGGUCGAGUAGAAUCUCCCAUCCCACUAAAAAAUACUUAGGUAUCGUUACAGAGGAAGUAGAGGAAAUGUUCCUCAUGGGAGAUAGGGAACAUGAAGAUGAUCCCAAAACUUACAACGAGGCGAUGUCUGACAUCGAUUCCGAGAAAUGGCUGGAUGCCAUGAAGUUAGAAAUUGACUCAAUGCAUUCCAACCAGGUUUGAAUUUUGGUAGACCCACCAGAAAGUAUAGUACCUAUCGGGUGUAAAUGGAUCUACAAAAGAAAGAUAGGUUCGGAUGGAAAGGUAGAGACCUAUAAAGCAAGGCUGGUUGCGAAAGGUUAUAGUCAACACGAAGGCAUUGACUAUCAGGAGACCUUUUCACCUGUGGCCAUGCUUAAAUCCAUUCGAACACUGCUUGCCCUUACAGCAUACUAUGAUUAUGAGAUCUGGCAAAUGGAUGUAAAAACUGCCUUCCUAAAUGAAUAUCUUGAAGAAGAUAUCUAUAUGGAGCAGCCUCUGGGUUUCACUUCCGGUGACGAAAGUCACAAAGUAUGCAAGUUGCAACGGUCCAUUUAUGGACUUAAGCAAGCAUGUCGGACUUGGAAUACUCGUUUCAACGACGUGAUUAAAUCGUUUGAUUUCGUUAAGAAUGAGGAGGAACCAUGUGUUUAUAAGAAGGUCAGUGGGAGAGUUAUCACAAUCCUCGUAUUGUACGUGGAUGACAUUCUCUUAAUUGGGAAUGACAUUCCAAUACUGACUUCAGUUAAAAUAUGGUUGUCUAAAGAAUUCUCCAUAAAAGAUCUAGGAGAAACAUCCUUUAUUUUGGGGAUAAAGGUUUAUAGAAAUAGAUCUAAAAGGAUGCUAGGCCUCUCACAGAAAAUGUACAUAGAGGAGAUGCUGAAGAGGUUUGGCAUGAAAAACUCCAAAAGAGGACUUUUACCUCUUACACAUGGAAUUUAUCUCUCUAAGAAAAUGUGCCCCAAUACAUUUGAAGAGAUUCAACGUAUGAGUAAGAUCCCUUAUGCCUCAGCUUAAGGGAGUCUUAUAUACUCCAUGCUAUGUACACGACCUGAUAUCGAGCUUGCUGUGAGUGUCACAAGUAGAUAUCAAUCUAAUCCAGGCGAUGAGCACUGGAUUGCUGUGGAGAACAUACUCAAGUACUUGAGAAGCACUAAGAAUAUGUUCUUGGUCUUUGGAGAAAGAGAGUUGAAAGUACAAGGAUAUACUGAUUCAAACUUUAUGUCUGAUAUUGACGAUAGAAAGUCUACGUCAGGAUGUGUGUUCUUAUGCAAUGGUGGCUCUGUGUAUUGGAAGAGUUCCAAACAACCACCCUACCAUGGAAGCAGAGUAUAUCGCCGUAUUUGAUGUACGUCUUCUGAUUCAUGAAGUUUGUCGCGAAAUUAAGUGUGAUGUCAUCGGAUGCCAUACCACUCUAUUGCGACAACAAUGGCGCCAUAGCCUUAGCUAAGGAGCCCAAGUCUCAUCAGAAGUCGAAGCAUAUAGAGCGGCGGUUUCAUAAUAUACGUGACUACCUCGACAAGAAAUACAUCGAGAUGCAGAGAGUAGACUCCACGGAUAACGUGGCAGGCCCAUUGACUAAACCACUUAGCCAGCAGAAGACUGAAGUCCACCUUGAGAAGAUGGGGCUUAAGUAUAUGACUGAUUUGCUUUAGUGCAAGUGGGAGAUUAUUAGAUGUAUGCCCUAGAAGCCAACCAGGCCGACACAUAUAUUCUUUCUAGGACAUAAAUUUGUAUUUGACUUUUAAAUAUUAUGAAUAACUUUGGAUUUUUUAUAUUUCCAUUCAUGUUGUGUAUGUGUCUAUGAAUCGUCCAAGGAAUUAAUAAAAUGAUGACAUAUAUUCUCAAGAGUUGAGAAUUUGAGACAUGUGUCAUUGGUGGUUAAUUCCUAAAUACUCCCGAUCAAUGAAUCAUCACGGGAACGGUGAUUGAUCCGGUGAGAUUGGUACAUAUGUCGUUUCCCUUUUGGGUAGACGGGUCUCGAGUCGACAGUGUGGGGACACUGAAGCGAAUAUGCAGGUGGUUGUUAGAGAACAAGGGUACCGAGCGUGACCAAUGCGAGAAGUCACUUGGAUGUCUACUCACUCGUCAGUAGCUUACUCAAUGUUGCAGUAGUGUGACUGGUCCUUUGACCUGCGGUGCCUCGGCUAUUCACAAUGAGGUUACUGUAGUUUGACUGUACAUACACUUGGUCCCUAGCCAUUCGGGUCCUUGCGGUGCAUGUUGGCUGCAGUAGGUUCAUUGUAGGAAUAGGGUGCGCGCUCAGAUGAAAUCUAUAUCCCUUGGUAGAUAGGGGUGUUAGUCCUAUGUGAUUUAUGAGACCGAGUUUAGAAGACCUUGGCCAGGGCAGAAGAAAUAGCGGAAAAGGGUUUCUGAUAUUAGAAACUCGAGUCGAAUAAAUUUAACAUAUGACAGACGAUAGGGUUUGACGAGUUAUUCCAUAACCUCCGUCUAGUCGGGACUCAUGAUAGAAGGAUUGUAUCACACGGUAACUGCACCAAGAUGUUCAGUAUUCCAUUCUACUGGAAUGCCACUACAUGCUGCUAAGCGUCACUGGUGGAUGGUGAGACUCAUGAGAUUUAUCUAGAUGAUCGAUAAUUCUCAUUGGACUGAGUUGGAAUUAUUUCGAUCCACUGAAAAGAGUUUCAGUGAUAUUGUUGAUAGUGAUCAAAAUAUAUCUCACUACCAGAUAGAAUAGAACCUAUGGGGUCACACAUAUAAGAGAUUGUGAUUGAUCGGAUAGCUAGAUCGCGAUUAUUGAAUCGCCGAAGGACCUAAUUGUCAAUAUGUUGAUAAUUGGACUAAUUUGUAAUUAUUACAAAUUAGUGGUAUUAAAGUGUAAAUGUUACUAGAGAGGACUUA
rnacentral:lncRNA from 1 species